GUCCACGCUGUAACGAUGAAUACUAGGUGUGGGAGGACUGACCCUUCCGUGCCGCAGUUAACACAAUAAGUAUUCCACCUGGGGAGUACGACCGCAAGGUUGAACUCAAAGGAAUUGACGGGGCCCGCACAAGCGGUGGAUUAUGUGGUUUAAUUCGACGCAACGCGAAGAACCUUACCAGGACUUGACAUCCAACUAACGAGUAGAGAUACAUUAGGUGCCCUUCGGGGAAAGUUGAGACAGGUGGUGCAUGGUUGUCGU
rnacentral:rRNA from 1 species